CAGACGCAGCCUGAGCGCUCAGACCCGGUUUGGAUUUGGCCUCAUUGGACCUGAACUGGACGCUUUCUACUUAUUUUAGAACAUCAGAUCAGAUCAGCUGUUUGAUGUGCAGUUUGAGGUCAGGAGGCCGAUCGCUGAUCUCUAGCUGAUGGAUUUCUGGAACGUUUGUCUGCAGUUUGAACAGUUUGACCUCGCGGCUGCUGUCAAACAUCUGUUCGAACCUGCAGUCAGCGUGUUUCAGUGUUAGUGAUGCAGCCAUCUUGUUUGAAUAAACUUUAUUGGAAUUGUAAAGAAGGUCAAUGAGGAGAAGAGGAGGAGUGAGGUGGUUAAAGGAGGAGAUCACUAAAAGUCUUAAUGCAGUUUCUGGAUAUUGAAAGAGAUGAAUAACAUUAAAUCAAACAGGCAGUUGUUGUAGGAUCUGGCUGGAUUUCCUGAACCGGUCUGGCGAUCAAGGUGCUGCUGAUCCUCGACCAGCUGCUGUCUCUUGGACCUGCUCUUGUGGAUCUGCGGACGUCCGGCAAAGAAAGUUCAGGUGUUCAGGUGUGAACAGCGUCUCUGCAGAGGGUGAGAGGAAAGCCGCCGCGUCGUCGCUGAGGGAGGCGGAGCAGACUGUCAGGAGCUGCAGGAAGAGCUCCUGGUUUCCUUUGUGGGGCUUCAGCAUCCAUUUUUCGGGUCUUAAACUCCGCCCAUCGAUUGAACAGUCGACGUUCAUCGAGAAGACGCCUUCGCCGCAGCUUCAGCUGCAUCGUUGCGGCAGAAAAACACAAGGAUGGAUCAUUUGUUUGACUUUGAAGGCGACGAAGAGUCCGAGCUGAAGGACAAACUCGUCGUUAGUUUGACGCGUUUCAUUCGUCUCUACAGUCGACAGUCAGAUCGUCUCCGCGCGGCGUCCGAGAGCUUCACGCUGACGGCCGCUCGCCUUCAGGACGAGCUUCAGGAGAGCGAGGUGGUUCGGUGUCUGUUCACCGUGUUCGGAGGACUCCUGGGCGCAGCGUGUGGGGGCGUUUCUGGAGGGGCGCUGGGGGCACUGGGGGCAGUCGGUGCAGCGACGUGGAGCAAGCUCUGCGGCGACAUCAACGCAGUCAGAGCAGCUGUGGGCCUGGUCGGCAGCGUGGCGGGCGGUGUAGCUGGCGGAGUGUUCGGCGGCGCUGUCGGCAGCGCCAUCGGCACGGCAGCUGAAGCCAGGGGUCGUCCGGUCCACGGUGUCGUCGGCGACGUGGCGUGGUUCUCCAUCGGCUUCACAACCGGUGCUGCAAUUGGUGGCAUUUUUGGAGGGAAGGUCGGUGCGGCAGGCGGUGCAGGCGGCGGUGCUUUCGCUGCGUUGUACACCACCAGGUUUGCAGUUACUUUAGUCGGAGGCGUCGUCGGUUAUUUUCGCGGAACCAAAGAUUCAAAAGAAGAGAAAAUGAAGUCAGAGAAAGUGAAUCUGAUGCUGAAAACUGGAGAUUUUACCGAAGCCGUCCAGCAGCUGGUCGAGGAGCUGAAGACCAUCAAGACCAUCAGCGACAAAAUGGCCUCCAGCGGCGCUGUGCGCGGCUUACCGGCGCAGACCGCCAGGACGCUGGCCUCUGCGACCACGCUGGAGGACGCCAUCGUGGACGCUCAGGGAGCCGCAGAUCUGCCGCAGUUCGUUUCCUGCCUCGAAGAAGCGGCGAGACGAAGCGAGAGACUGAGUGAAGACGUGAAGACGACGAGGACGCGAGUGGACAAAGUUUUAGUUUCGCUGAGGAAACGCUGAACGUCAGCAGGAAGCCGAGACGUGAAAGACAAACAGAACCACGACGAGGCUAACGUGAGUCUGAAACAAGUCACAUGAUCCCGUGGUCACGUGUCGACGGGACGAAGAUCUGAACCAAACGUUGUUUCUGUGCUGCGAUAAAUGUGACAUUAAACUGAGCUGCGUUGACAUACUGUGACCUGAGCUCAUGUGUUCGUGCUCUGCUGUACCUUCACUUUAUCUCAUAGACUCAGUGGCCACUUCAUUAGGUACGCCAUGAACUCUUUAAAUUUACAUUUACAAACAGGCUGAUGUUCAGUUGUGAGUGACGCCGUCAGUCAGGCGUUAAUUGAACUACGUUUUAUUCAGGUUGUAGUUUCAGUGCUGUUGAACUGGACUCAUGAAUAUUAGACACCAGCUGUAGAAGAAGUACAAGUAAAAAUACUACAGUGCAGAAAUACUCAAAAUGUACAAGAGGAAGUCCUGCAUUUAUAAUCCGACUUCAUUUAAAACACAAAAGCUUGUGUUCAUCAGUCAUGUUGCGGCUGGAAACUGUAAAUCUAAUUUCAAUUUAUUUAUUUAUUUUUUGUAUAUUUUAUCAGUGGAACGAGUAAAAAAUGGCCGUCGUGAAUCCAAAAAUUCAAAAUAAUCAACAUGAGGAUCAUAAAAUCAUCAGAUUUUCAGAUGAUUGAUUUCUUUUUGCUGAAAAACUUGUUUGAUAAUCAAUGAUUUGAUUGUUGCUCAUCUGUCAGUCGGCUAACAGAUGAAUCGUCAUGACAACAAUGAACCACAGUCAGAAUAAACGUGUGAUGAAUGUUGAGCGGUGACAGUUCAGAUCUCCUCUGUCCUCUGACGUAACGAUGGUCGCUGCGCUGGUGCUGAGGUCAUGUGACGGGCAGCGUUGUGAUUGGAUGAGCAACGCUCGUUAACUAUUCAUGACUUGACUUCGGCGUCCUAGAAAAAAAACUCCACAGAGGCCUGAAACACUGAAGGGACACCAAAUCAGAAACGGUAGAAAAUGUUUUAUUUGCUGAAAUGCAGAAGCAAAGUCGAACUUCCUCAUUCGUACACUUCAGUAUUAAAAAUAAUUUAAAUAUUUUACAAAUCUUCAGCCUAAAGUUGACCUACUUUAAGACAGACAGCAGUAAUUAAUCUUCUAUUUAAAAUCAAUUAAAAAAUCAUUUUUAAGAAAGAUGAUUUCUGAAUGUGUCCAUCACAGUUUCUCUUCGCUUUGAGCUGAGGCUGUAAUGUCUGAGCUCUUUCCGGCUGGGCGGAUCAUUCUUCCGAUUAAUUGUCUUAACGAGCUCAGAAGACAUCCGGCAUCAUUAGCAUCGAGUGCGGCUAAGAUUCACUCUUUAACAUUUGAUUUUAUCACAGAACGUUUCAGGAAGAUUUCAGCUGAUCUUUGUCUGAAUCGUGAUCUUUCACCUCUGCGUUUCUUGUUGCCACGGUGAGUCAAACAGCUGAUCUCCGGUCCGUCGUCCUCACAGCGAGAUGUCUGAGGACACGUGGAGCUGCUGUCCCGGUUUCCACUUGGCGCUGCGUCGGCUGCCGUCUGUCCGUCUGUACGGCUGAUUCCUUAAAUCUGAGGACAAACAAACACUCGGGAUCGACUCGGUCACGUUUCUAAACCGAUCUGAGGUCGGUCGAUAUUAAACUGAAGCAGGAAACAUUUAAAUAGACUAAGUAGCCAAAAGUACGUGGACACCUCUGUGGUUUCAGUUUAAAUAAAAGUCAAAAUAUAACCAGGAAAACCUGAAGAAUACAAAAUCUCUCGGCCAAACAGGCGGCGACAACAAACUCGCUAAUACCUUUCAUUCAGGGGAAGGCCAUUUUUGAUCAAUACUGGCACUGAUAUCAUUCACCUCACUGGAAACUGCAGUUUCAGGUCGUUGUUGUGUCUAAACAACCAAACUGAACCGUGUCGGCGUCCAAUCAGAAAAGGCUCAGAGUGCUCUGCAGGUUAUUUUGAAGGUGUCAUUAAAACUGAAUCACAUCAGCUUCUUUAAAAUGAGCCGACGUCUCUGCAGGAAACUCACAAAGAGACUAAACUGCAUCCAAAAUACUCUUUGAAAGGCGCAUCAAGAAGCUGUAAUGAGAAUAAAUGUGUGCAGGUUAUUACUGUCGGCUGCGUGUGUUCCACUGGUUACUGAAGUGUCUGAACAGGCGGCGUUAAUCUGUUUUCAGCUUAAACGUUUAAAUCAGGCGCACCAGAAGAUCACGUUCCUGAAUAAUCACGCAGGUGUGAACAUCAGUGAAUCUGUUAAAGGAGCUCGGAGACGAGCAGCUGGACGUUCGCGCGGAGCGUCGAGGGGUUUGAAGGAGUCACCUCGUCGCUGAAGACGGAGUCACAGAACAGACGAGAGGAGCGUUUGGCUGAACGAGCCGUGAAGGGCACAGACUUUAGAGCUGAGGACGCCGGGGAGACAACAGGAAGAGAGGAGGGACAAACAGAGAGAAGCAAGGACAAGUUAAAGUCAGAGAAAAGAGGAGAACAAGCUGAGAUCUGAAGGAGGAAACUAACUGCAGGUGAAGAAGAAGAGAGCUGCAGGCAGAAAACCUGGACAUUAGUUAGCGCUGUUGCUAAUUGUGGCUGAAAAUAAUGUCAUGUGCUAACUGUUCCACCUGCCUCCAGUGUCUGUGCUAAGCUAGGCUAACCAGGUGUCGUUUACCUGUGAUGAUGUCCUCGAUGGCGCCGUCCUUUCCCUCCCUCACCUGCGGAGACACCUGCCUCUUCUUCAGCUCUGCUAUCAGAUCCACCUGCGGCAGCCUGGACGUCACACAGACCUGAAACACAGAGUCGAGACCUUUACCGCCGCGCUCCGCCGUCUCGCAGCUUGGAUCUCGUUUUGGUGGUUUUGGGCGUUUCUUCUUUGUCAGUUUCAUUUACACAACCCAGACUUACAACUCACAACGUGCCUCAAAGUGCUUUACAGCCCGCGCAGCGUGUGACAAACCAUCGCUCGCCUCAGAGGGUAAUAAUAACACCGAGCAGGGCGAGAAAAACGAGCAGUCAGACGCUCAGACAGGCUGUAAACAAACCUGCAGCUUAGCCAACAUGAUUUGUUACGGCCUCAGUCAGCGUGUGUGUGUGUGUGUGUGAAUACUUCUACUCCUGAGUUUGGCUUCAUGUAUGAAAACUUUCAGUUUCAGUUCAGCUCUUCUUGCAGCCACGUUGGACUGAAGCACAUUUAGCUUAUUGUGCUAAUAUCUAUGAACUCACAUGUUUUUCUUUCUGUUUAUCUCAUAACGACAAAGUUCAGGUGAAGCUGCUCUAACAGUAAAUCACAGCGUUGCUGGGUUUGUUUGCUGCUCGUUGCUUCAGAUCAACAGUUAACUGAAACUGUGGACAAAACUAUCAAAAUAAGAGCAACAGAACUGACGCUGAGUGAAGAUAUUCGGCUGUUUGCUCUCAUUCUGACGAUAUUCCUGCUCAGCUGCUGACGUGCAGCCGUGUUUUAUUGUUAAAAAGGUCGCGUUGUUGUGAUAUUUGUUCAUAUCCUAAAACCUGCUGAUAUCCUGUUUUUCAUGAUGUUUAAUCGUCAGUUUGACAGUCACACAUUUCAGAAUAUGAGCGUGCACGUAAACGCAGUCGUUUAGGAAACUCGACGUUACCUUAUUGGCAGCGCCUUCAGGUUUAGGCGGGGUCGACGGAGCGUCGCAGCUCAGGACGAGUCGUUUCUUCCUCUGCUCGUUCUCCAGCUCGGCUUGCUGUCAGAGAAAAGAGUUUAUCUCCACCUGAAGGUCAAAGCGGCUUUCUGCGCGUUCAGGAGUGGAUGAAACGAGCGUUAUCUGACCUUGUAAGCCUUGAUGAACCGGACAAAAACAGGGAAGAACAUGGAGGGCGGGGUGGUUUUAGAGUUCUCUCCGAAGUACUCCACAGCAGAGUCGUACGCGUCCUGCCAGAGAGGAAAAACAAGCCUCGUUUAGCUCACGAGCCAAAUAAAACGGAAGAGACGAACAGAAAUGCGAAGCUCUGCUGUGAUUCGGGUUUAUUUUGGGCCGAUUGAAGCCGACCUGGGCUGUUUUCCCGUCAGCUGUGAGGCCGUGAAGCAGCUCGCUGUUGCUGCUGAGGAACGUCUGCAGCACAGGGUUGUGUUUCUCUGCAGAGAACUCCCUCCGGGUCGCCUCCAUGCCUCGAUCCAGAGCUCGCACGUCCUGCAGGACGCUGUCGAGAGAAACUGCGACGCCAGUCAGCGGAGUUUAGAGCAAAGUUCAAGCUUCAGGUUAACGUUCGAUCUUAAAGUACCUAAAGUUUAUCCAAAGUUGCUCUACUUCCUGUUUAUUUGUUGUUCAGUGCUGCAGGACGCAGGUCAGACUGGACCGAGUGUCCAGUUACCUUAUAAAGUGUAGCCUGUCCAGUUCUGCUCAUUCAUAAUAAUAAAUGUACUUUAUACUUUUUACUGAAAGUGAAGGAGUAAAGUGAUUUUCCUUCUGUCGUUACUCCUCGUCAGCAUUAGAAACUCGUAUCUGUUUGAUUUAUUGUCUCGAUGUGAACUAUUCCAUCAGCUAAAGUCAUGUUUUAAUAAAAGAGAGAAAUUCAGGUGUGAAACUGUCGUGGAAAAGCAUAAAAAACAGAUGAUUCAGUGAACGGUAUGAAUUCACUACGAUACUUUAACACAGUUAUCAGAGAAAACUUUUUUCUUUCCAGUUUGUUUUGUGCCAGAUGCAAACUGACGGCAUCCUGUUGAUCAGAAAUAAAACUUUUCUUUUCAGACUCAGUGUCUAAAUUGAAGAAACGAACGUGUUCAUGUUACUGAAGGACUCACUGUGAUUUCCACCAGAACAGAUUCUCACAGAACUUUCCGACCAUCACUGGACUUCACUCACCCAGCGCCGCCUUGUCCAGGAAGUGCAGCUCGGUGUAGAAGGCCUGGACGUCGGGGUACUUCUCCUGGAUGAUGCUGACGAUGAAGUGCAGCAGCGUCUGCUUGCGAUCUAAACUCUGCAGCCGGAAGCCGUACGCUGCCCCUCGCUUGCUGCUGUUCAUGUAGUUUCCAAACGCUAAGAUGAUCUUUACAUCAGAAACGACAUCAUUUCGUACCAAUGAGAAGGAGCGAGAACGGCGCCCACAUGGACGUAAAGAAUAAAACACCCUCAGACUGCUGAAGUGGUGCAUGUUCAGCUUUAUGGAGGCAGAUUUGUUCUUCUUCAUUACUUCAGUCUAAAAGACUGAUGGAGCCGAACUGUCCGGCUGCCGGAGUCCGCGUGGGACCUCUGAUCCAGAUCACUACCAUAGAUCUGCUCCUGCACGCCAUUGAGGUCUUUCUGGCAGGACGUUCAGGAGGUUUUACAGAGAGAGCUCCAGGCGGACUUUUAAAUUGGAGACUCAAUAAAAAGAGUGGAGAAACAUUUGUCAGAGAAGAACAAAACUUCCUGCAUAUCAUUUACAUUUUCUGUCCAAAUAAAAUCUGUC